rnacentral:rRNA from 1 species
GAGUUUGAUUAUGGCUCAGAUUGAACGCUGGCGGAAUGCUUUACACAUGCAAGUCGAGCGGCAGCGCGGGGCAACCUGGCGGCGAGCGGCGAACGGGUGAGUAAUACAUCGGAACGUGCCCAGACGUGGGGGAUAGCCCGGCGAAAGCCGGAUUAAUACCGCAUGUGAUCUGAGGAUGAAAGCGGGGGACCUUUGGGCCUCGCGCGUUUGGAGCGGCCGAUGGCAGAUUAGGUAGUUGGUGGGGUAAAGGCUUACCAAGCCUGCGAUCUGUAGCUGGUCUGAGAGGAUGAUCAGCCACACUGGGACUGAGACACGGCCCAGACUCCUACGGGAGGCAGCAGUGGGGAAUUUUGGACAAUGGGCGAAAGCCUGAUCCAGCCAUUCCGCGUGCAGGACGAAGGCCCUCGGGUUGUAAACUGCUUUUGUACAGAACGAAAAAUCCCUGGCUAAUACCUGGGGACCAUGACG